ACAUCCAGAGAACUUAGCAGAGAUGCUUUGGUGCCUUCGGGAACUCUGAGACAGGUGCUGCAUGGCUGUCGUCAGCUCGUGUUGUGAAAUGUUGGGUUAAGUCCCGNAACGAGCGCAACCCUUAUCCUUUGUUGCCAGCGGGUAAUGCCGGGAACUCAAAGGAGACUGCCGGUGAUAAACCGGAGGAAGGUGGGGAUGACGUCAAGUCAUCAUGGCCCUUACGGCCAGGGCUACACACGUGCUACAAUGGCGCAUACAAAGAGAAGCGACCUCGCGAGAGCAAGCGGACCUCAUAAAGUGCGUCGUAGUCCGGAUCGGAGUCUGCAACUCGACUCCGUGAAGUCGGAAUCGCUAGUAAUCGUAGAUCAGAAUGCUACGGUGAAUACGUUCCCGGGCCUUGUACACACCGCCCGUCACACCAUGGGAGUGGGUUGCAAAAGAAGUAGGUAGCUUAACCUCCGGGAGGGCGCUUACCACUUUGUGAUUCAUGACUGGGGUGAAGUCGUAACAAGGUAAGCGUAGUGCU
rnacentral:rRNA from 1 species